ACCGUGUGAGACGCACCUGCUUCCCCUUCCACUGUGAUGUGUGGGAACGGACUAACACAGAGGCCAUAUAUACAAAAUUUGGGUGUGCUUUCCUAUUUAACAAGGAACUUUGAGUGAGGUUCAGAGCAAGAGAAAUGCUGGCCUGCUGACUAGGCUGCCAGACAAGCCUUUCUUCCACUUGGCCCUAUGACGUGGUGAACCCAUGGCAAUCUGAGUGUCUGAGGAGUGUGAGAAUGUCAUAUGGAGGGCCAGGCACAUGGGGCUCACACCUGUAGUCCCAGCACUUCGGGAGGCUGCGGCACGUCGAUCACUUGAGUGCAGGGAGUUCAAGACCAGCCUGGGCAAUAUAGUAAGACCUCAUCUCUUAAAAGAAUGUUGUGUGGAGCCUGUGGCAAACCUUGACAGAACAACCACAAUCAUGGUUAUUGAUGAGUAUUGUUGAGUGAUCGCCUCAUCAACAGGUCACCAUUCCCUUUUGAGAAACAGCUGCUGGCUUGCUCAUGGGUUGAGUAGACAGCACAUUUCACUGCAAUUCACUAAAAGAUCAUGCAACAUAAGCUGUCAAUCAGUACCUGGUGUUGUCUGAUCCACCAAGCCAUAGAGAUGGGCCUGUCCAACAAAACUAUCAUAAACAUGGAGGCAGUACAUGUGAGGUUUGUUAUGGACUGAAUAGUGUUCCCCCAAAAUUCAUAUUUUGAAGGCCUAGACCCCGUUUGCAGACAGGACCUUUAAGGAAGUGAGGUAACCAUCAAGGUUAAGUGAGGUCAUCAGGGUGGGUCCUGACCCAAUGGGACUGGUGUCCAUAAGAAAAGGUGUGACACCAGACAUGAGCACACACAGGAGAGACCACCUGAGGACCUGCAGAGAAGGCGGCUCUCUGUGAGGCAAGGAGAGAGUCCUCGGCAGAAACCAACCCCAUCAGCACCUUGAUCUUGGACUUCUAGCCUCUAGAGCCGUGAGAAAUACACUUCCAUUAUGACAGCCCGAACAGACUGACACGAGGUUGUCCUCAAGCAUAUCCGAGACACCCUGAGACACCACAUGAGCAGGAGGCUCGCCCUCCAAAGGCACCCACUCCCUCUGCAAUCCUUGCUCCUCCACCUGCAUUUUUGGUUUUAUGGGGAGUUCCCUAAAACAAGCUGAGGAAUGAAAAAUGGAGCCUGGUGUACAGAUGGUUCUGCAUACUAGGCUGGUGCGGCGGGCCCGGGCUCAGCAUCACAGCCCUACUCCAGCUGGCCCUGAUGGACGUGGUGGAAAGGAAUUCCAUGCAGCUGGCCAAACUUCAAGCCUCACACCUGAUUAUCCUCUCCUUUACCUGGAGGGACAGUUGAUGAUCAGGGGCUUAGAAGGCACAGGUUUGGAGGAUUGGAGUUGAGGAGGCCAGGGGAGGCAGCGUUCGGGGAUGGGACGCCAAGAGUUAAGGGUGAGGCCGCACGCGUGCAGCUCCCCCGUGCUGCGCAUGGCGCUGGGAUCGGCCUGAGCGGCGGCCCCCAUUUCAGGGAUGGCCAGCGUGGCCGUGGGAUGCUGACGAUACGGGAAGCCAGAGAAUAAAGGCUUUGGUGGAGGUCGGGAGGAGGCGCCGGCCUGGACAGUUUUCCUAGAAAAUAUUCUCUGCGUGUACCCGCGACCUUGCCUCUCGUGGAAAGCCGCUGGGAGUUGGAGCGGCUCCCUCCUGCCCCCGUCUGAGGUCUGGCUGGCUGUUUUCUUGGUGAGGUGCUGGAAUGCACAGGAGGCUCUCCUAGGCAAGCUGUCUGCAAAUGUAAGAAAUGGGGUGGUGACGCGCAGACCUGGGAUUCGCUUGCAGAACCUAGGAAAUCCGUUGUCAUGGAGGGAGCCAGGGAGCUCUUAGGUGUUGGGGAAGCCUCCCUCCACCUGCGGGUGGGUGGCAGGAGGAGAAAGUGCCAGGCCGUGUGUCUGCAGGGGCUGAGGAUUAAACGCAGGGGUCAAAAGACCCCUGCUGGAUUUGGUGGUGAAUCAGUGCUGGCUUUGGCAGCUGGGGCAGGAUUCCCUCCCUCAAGUAAAGGGCAAGUCGGGCUGCUCUGCUGACCCCUUAGUAAACUGGAGUGGGGAGGGCGGAGUGUCUCCAGGAGGCUCAGCGGAAGGCGGGCAGGCACCCUGCAGCCCUUUCAGGAGGAAGAGCCUGGCCAAGCGCAUAUCUGGUUUGGGCUUCAGUUGCCUGGGCCGCAGCGCAGGCUUCCCCCUACCCCUGCCCCGGGGGCCUGGCCCAGGGCUGCUCUGGGGCUGUAGAGAACAGCAGUACCAAUUGGCCCCGAGUCGGUUGCAGCCUUUGCCACAAAUCUGGAAGAAGCCGGGAAUGUCACUCCUUGUCUGGCCUGGUCAGCUUUCUACUACAAAGUAAUAUGCCUGGCAAGAAGCAACUUAUGUAACAACAAGUUAUAGUUUGGAGUUCAUUGAGGAUAUAGUUUGUUUUAAGUAGGAUUUUUCAAGCAAAUUGAUCUGUCCAUGGACAAGCUUCCUGUUUUAGGACAUUAUUUAUAUUGAAAAUAGCUGCCCAGACAUGAUUCUGGCUUUUAUUGUCAAUUUCCAAUGAUAGCCACUGAAAUCCAGAUUUUGAAAGGGAAAGAUGAAGAGGACUGGUGGUGGGUUCCGUUCAGGUGGGUUCAGUUCAGCAUGCCCUGCAGUCAGCGUUUCUCACACUCCAGGUGCCCCGAGGGAGCCCACGCACAGGGCACAACCCCCACGGCAGUCAGCUCAUAGUCAGCAGGUUCCAGGCUCUGGGGUUUGGUCCCACAAGUGUGCAUGCAUGACACUUUUGCAAGAUCUAGGAGUUUGUGGAAAAUGGCAUAACAAUAAGCUAAUUUUUAAAAAAAGACGACACAAAAGAAAUAGCGAUGAUCAAAAUAGUCAACCAUGGCCAGGUGUGGUGGCUCAUGCCUGGAAUCCCAGCACUUUGGGAGGCCCAGGUGGGUGGAUCACCUGAGUUCAGGAGUUCUAGACCAGCUUGGCCAACAUAGUGAAUCCCUGUCUCUAUGAAGAAUACAAUAAUUAGCUGGGCAUGGUGUGCCUGUAAUCCCAGCUCCUCGGGAUGGUGAGGCAGGAGAAUUGCUUGAACCCAGGAGGCAAGAGGUUGCAAUGAGCUGAGAUCGCGCCACUGCACUCCAGCCUGGGCAACAGAAUGAGACUGU
rnacentral:lncRNA from 10 species